AAAGGAAUAGACGGGGGCCCGCACAAGCAGUGGAGUAUGUGGUUUAAUUCGAAGCAACGCGAAGAACCUUACCAGGGCUUGACAUCCCUUGAAGUUGGUAGAGAUAUCAACGUCCUUCGGGACAAGGAGACAGGUGGUGCAUGGUUGUCGUCAGCUCGUGUCGUGAGAUGUUGGGUUAAGUCCCGCAACGAGCGCAACCCCUGUUGUUAGUUGCCAUCAUUAAGUUGGGCACUCUAGCGAGACUGCCGGUGACAAAUCGGAGGAAGGUGGGGACGACGUCAAAUCAUCAUGCCCCUUAUGUCCUGGGCUACACACGUACUACAAUGGCUAUUACAGAGGGAAGCUAAGCCGCAAGGUGGAGCAAAUCCCCAAAAAUAGUCCCAGUUCAGAUUGUGGGCUGAAACUCGCCCACAUGAAGUCGGAAUUGCUAGUAAUGGCAGGUCAGCAUACUGCCGUGAAUACGUUCCCGGGCCUUGUACACACCGCCCGU
rnacentral:rRNA from 1 species